GGCUCAGGACGAACGCUGGCGGCGUGCCUAAUACAUGCAAGUGGAACGCAUGAUUGAUACCGUAGCUUGCUACACCAUUAAUCAUGAGUCGCGAACGGGUGAGUAACGCGUAGGUAACCUGCCUACUAGCGGGGGAUAACUAUUGGAAACGAUAGCUAAUACCGCAUAAGAGUUUUUAACACAUGUUAGAAAUUUAAAAGGAGCAAAUGCUUCACUAGUAGAUGGACCUGCGUUGUAUUAGCUAGUUGGUAAGGUAACGGCUUACCAAGGCGACGAUACAUAGCCGACCUGAGAGGGUGAUCGGCCACACUGGGACUGAGACACGGCCCAGACUCCUACGGGAGGCAGCAGUAGGGAAUCUUCGGCAAUGGGGGGAACCCUGACCGAGCAACGCCGCGUGAGUGAAAAGAAGGUUUUCGGAUCGUAAAGCUCUGUUGUAAGAGAAGAACGUUGAGUAGAGUGGAAAGUUACUCAAGUGACGGUAUCUUACCAGAAAGGGACGGCUAACUACGUGCCAGCAGCUGC
rnacentral:rRNA from 1 species